UGUGAGAGAGAGAGAGGUUGAUUGUCAGUGCUGAUUGUGGUUGGGCCAGGAGGAUGGAUUUCACUUGGGGAACUUGUUUGAUGGAUGGCAUGGGAUGAGAGAGGAAAUUGAUCCUCUAGCAGAAUCAUGCUGAUGGAUGGGCUUGAGGUCAGACUAGAAGUCUCAAGAAUGCACUUUCCACGUGCUGGAGAGACUGCAAUGGUCAAGGUAAUGAUGAAGUUCCUGCAGUAACAUAUGGCAGUUGUAGACAUGUGCUUGCAUAAGACCUAAAAGCUUCAGGUGUCAGAGGUGAUCCUCACAGGUGAGGAGUUCAAGCUAUGGUGACCUUGGAGGCAGGACUGAAGUCACAGCGAUGCAGGCAGAUCACCUGAUAUGGAAACCCUAAGAAACCAGGGUGCUUGGGACUUGAGAGGAGUUUUGGACUUGUGAUUGCUACUGUGCUCUAGGAGAACUAAGGUAAACUAUGAAUCUAAUCCUCUCCCCCUCCCUUGAGAAUGAGAUGGUACUAAGACAGGAGGAGAAGGAUUACACCUCCCACAUGUUGGGGGAGUAAAUUUAUAUAUUUGCGAUUGUACCUUUUGAAGUAAAAAUACUCUUUGUAAAAGCUCACUGUGCUACAUGGGCUUGGUAUGGAAGUUAUUCAAAUCAUACUGUGUAUCUAGAUAUUCCUCCUCCAUCCCAGGAGAAAUUGUCAAGUCUUUUUUGAGCCAGAUGCUAAAGGGCUUUAAAUGUGCCAAGCUGAAGAGGUCCUUUUAUCCUAGAGGUCGUCCCUAAAGUUUCUUCAACAUGCCUCCCAGGUCGCCGGGUAUGAGACUUAUUUUGAUAUGCAAUAUCUAAAUUGCUCCCAGACAAUCCAGGCUGAUGCAGAGAGAAAGCAUUGGCCAAAGCCAUGAGAAGGAAUGACAGCUCCAGCUUCCUAGGGCCAGAGAGGGCUGGCAGCCAAGCCUUCGCCUGGAAUGAUCUGUUACCAUCUUGGCAUCAAGCAAACAAGCACAGAAGACCACUAACAGCCAGAAAGCUCCUGAGCCUUGUUUAUUUUUAUUUAUUGAACAAGAGAUUGCCUUUUCACUGGAUUCCAAUGGCCCAGAGAUACCAUGAUAUUGGAGAAGGGUAAAUGUGGUCCUGAUUUUCAAAAUAGGAAAAAGAAAAGAGCCUUCAAACUAUUGGCCAGUGAGCUUGGCUUUGAUUCCUGGGAAAAUUCUACAAUGGAUCAUUAAAGAGAUGGUUGUCAAACAUUUAGAAAGAGAAGUGGUGAUUAAAAAGGACUGGUAUGGCUUCAGCAUGAACAGGUCUGGCCAGAAUAACCUCAUUUCCUUUUUUGAUAUGAUUACUAAACUAAAAGGUGAGAGGAAUGCUGUGUAUAUAGUUUACCUAGAUUUUAACAAAGCUUUUGAUAAACUACCUCAUACCAGUCUUGUGGAGAAGAUGGAGAGAUAUGGGUUAAGACAAUAAUAUGCUCUCCUAGCUGAUUGGAUGGCUGGACUCAAAGAGGAGUUUAUGUUAAUGGUUUAAUGUAGACUUGGCAUAGGAAGUCUUCAGUGGAGGACUCCAGAAGUCUGUGAUUGAAACUAUGGUGUUUAACAUUUCUAACAAUGACUUGGAUAAAGGCAUAGAUAAAAUGCUCAUAAAAUUUGUAGAUGAUGCACAGGUGAAAGGGAUAGCGCACUGGAUGACAGAGGACCUAAAAAGAUCUUGAAAGGCUGGAGCAGUAGACUGAAUAUCAAGUAAUUAAUAAAUAUUAAUUAAGCAGCUACUCUAUGUCAAGUACUGUGCUAAGUGCUGGGGAUACAAAAAGAG